AAAUUGAAGAGUUUGAUCAUGGCUCAGAUUGAACGCUGGCGGCAGGCCUAACACAUGCAAGUCGAACGGUAGCACAGAGAGCUUGCUCUCGGGUGACGAGUGGCGGACGGGUGAGUAAUGUCUGGGAAACUGCCUGAUGGAGGGGGAUAACUACUGGAAACGGUGGCUAAUACCGCAUAACGUCGCAAGACCAAAGAGGGGGACCUUCGGGCCUCUUGCCAUCAGAUGUGCCCAGAUGGGAUUAGCUGGUUGGUGAGGUAACGGCUCACCAAGGCGACGAUCCCUAGCUGGUCUGAGAGGAUGACCAGCCACACUGGAACUGAGACACGGUCCAGACUCCUACGGGAG
rnacentral:rRNA from 1 species